rnacentral:rRNA from 1 species
CACAGUCGAAGGGUGCUUGCACCUUUCAAGUGAGUGGCGAACGGGUGAGUAACACGUGGACAACCUGCCUCAAGGCUGGGGAUAACAUUUGGAAACAGAUGCUAAUACCGAAUAAAACUUAGUGUCGCAUGACAAAAAGUUAAAAGGCGCUUCGGCGUCACCUAGAGAUGGAUCCGCGGUGCAUUAGUUAGUUGGUGGGGUAAAGGCCUACCAAGACAAUGAUGCAUAGCCGAGUUGAGAGACUGAUCGGCCACAUUGGGACUGAGACACGGCCCAAACUCCUACGGGAGGCUGCAGUAGGGAAUCUUCCACAAUGGGCGAAAGCCUGAUGGAGCAACGCCGCGUGUGUGAUGAAGGCUUUCGGGUCGUAAAGCACUGUUGUAUGGGAAGAACAGCUAGAAUAGGAAAUGAUUUUAGUUUGACGGUACCAUACCAGAAAGGGACGGCUAAAUACGUGCCAGCAGCCGCGGUAAUACGUAUGUCCCGAGCGUUAUCCGGAUUUAUUGGGCGUAAAGCGAGCGCAGACGGUUUAUUAAGUCUGAUGUGAAAGCCCGGAGCUCAACUCCGGAAUGGCAUUGGAAACUGGUUAACUUGAGUGCAGUAGAGGUAAGUGGAACUCCAUGUGUAGCGGUGGAAUGCGUAGAUAUAUGGAAGAACACCAGUGGCGAAGGCGGCUUACUGGACUGCAACUGACGUUGAGGCUCGAAAGUGUGGGUAGCAAACAGGAUUAGAUACCCUGGUAGUCCACACCGUAAACGAUGAACACUAGGUGUUAGGAGGUUUCCGCCUCUUAGUGCCGAAGCUAACGCAUUAAGUGUUCCGCCUGGGGAGUACGACCGCAAGGUUGAAACUCAAAGGAAUUGACGGGGACCCGCACAAGCGGUGGAGCAUGUGGUUUAAUUCGAAGCAACGCGAAGAACCUUACCAGGUCUUGACA